AGCGCCGCGGGAAUACGUAGGGUGCAAGCGUUAAUCGGAAUUACUGGGCGUAAAGCGUGCGCAGGCGGUUAUAUAAGACAGAUGUGAAAUCCCCGGGCUCAACCUGGGAACUGCAUUUGUGACUGUAUAGCUAGAGUACGGCAGAGGGGGAUGGAAUUCCGCGUGUAGCAGUAAAAUGCGUAGAUAUGCGGAGGAACACCGAUGGCGAAGGCAAUCCCCUGGGCCUGUACUGACGCUCAUGCACGAAAGCGUGGGGAGCAAACAGGAUUAGAUACCCCUGUAGUCCCUGUCUCUUAUACAC
rnacentral:rRNA from 1 species